rnacentral:rRNA from 1 species
UUCGAAAGGGAAACAGCCCAGACCACCAGCUAAGGUCCCAAAAUAUAUGUUAAGUGGAAAAGGAUGUGGCGUUGCCCAGACAACUAGGAUGUUGGCUUAGAAGCAGCCAUCAUUUAAAGAGUGCGUAAUAGCUCACUAGUCGAGUGACACUGCGCCGAAAAUGUACCGGGGCUAAACAUAUUACCGAAGCUGUGGAUUGUCCUUUGGACAAUGGUAGGAGAGCGUUCUAAGGGCGUUGAAGCAUGAUCGUAAGGACAUGUGGAGCGCUUAGAAGUGAGAAUGCCGGUGUGAGUAGCGAAAGACGGGUGAGAAUCCCGUCCACCGAUUGACUAAGGUUUCCAGAGGAAGGCUCGUCCGCUCUGGGUUAGUCGGGUCCUAAGCUGAGGCCGACAGGCGUAGGCGAUGGAUAACAGGUUGAUAUUCCUGUACCACCUAUA